GAUAGUGACUAAAAAUAUAAAGACUCAUCCUUUUGGAUGAGUUAUUUCAAUGAGUUGAAUAUAAAUUAUUCUUCGAGUAGCAAGGAGAGGGCAAGUCUGGUGCCAGCAGCCGCGGUAAUUCCAGCUCUCCUAGUGUAUCUCGUUAUUGCUGCGGUUAAAAAGCUCGUAGUUGGAUCUAGGUUACGUGCCGCAGUUCGCAAUUUGCGUUAACUGUGGUCGUGACUUCUAAUUUGCUGGUUUGAGGUUGGGUUCGCCCUUCAACUGCCAGCAGGUUUACCUUGAAUAAAUCAGAGUGCUCAAUACAGGCGCUUGCUUGAAUAGCUCAUCAUGGAAUAAUGAAACAGGACUUCGGUUCUUUUUGUUGGUUCUAGAAUUGAUCUAAUGGUUAAGAGGGACAAACCGGGGGCAUUCGUAUCAUUACGCGAGAGGUGAAAUUCGUGGACCGUAGUGAGACGCCCAAUAGCGAAAGCAUUUGCCAAGAAUGUCUUCAUUAAUCAAGAACGAAAGUCAGAGGUUCGAAGGCGAUUAGAUACCGCCCUAGUUCUGACCGUAAACGAUGCCAUCUCGCGAUUCGGAGGGUUCAUGCCCUACCGAGGAGCUACCCGGAAACGAAAGUCUUUCGGUUCCGGGGGUAGUAUGGUUGCAAAGACUGAAACUUAAAGAAAUUGACGGAAGGGCACCACAAGGCGUGGAGCUUGCGGCUUAAUUUGACUCAACACGGGAAAACUCACCCGGUCCGGACACUAUUAGGACUGACAGAUUGAAAGCUCUUUCUCGAUUUGGUGGUUGGUGGUGCAUGGCCGUUCUUAGUUGGUGGAGUGAUUUGUCUGGUUUAUUCCGAUAACGAGCGAGACUCUAGCCUGCUAAAUAGUCGACGAAUCUUCGGGUUCGUAUAACUUCUUAGAGGGAUAAGCGGUGUUUAGCCGCACGAGAUUGAGCGAUAACAGGUCUGUGAUGCCCUUAGAUGUCCGGGGCUGCACGCGUGCUACACUGGUGGAGUCAGCGGGUUUUUCCUAUGCCGAAAGGUAUCGGUAAACCGUUGAACUUCUUCCAUGUCCGGGAUAGGGUAUUGUAAUUAUUACCCUUAAACG
rnacentral:ncRNA from 1 species